AACGAACGCUGGCGGCAUGCCUAACACAUGCAAGUCGAACGAGACCUUCGGGUCUAGUGGCGCACGGGUGCGUAACGCGUGGGAACCUGCCCUUAGGUUCGGAAUAACUCCCCGAAAGGGGUGCUAAUACCGGAUAAUGUCUUCGGACCAAGGAUUUAUCGCCUUUGGAUGGGGCCGCGUUGGUUUAGCUAGUUGGUAGGGUAAAAGCCUACCAAGGCGACGAUCCAUAGCUGUUAUGAGAGGAUGAUCAGCCACACUGGGACUGAGACACGGCCCAGACUCAUACGGGAGGCAGCAAGGGGGAAUAUCGGACAGCGGGCGAGAGCCUAAUCCAGCAAUGCCGCGUGAGUUAUGAAGGCCUGAGGGUGGUAAAGCUCUUUUACCCGGGAUGAUAAUGACAGUACCGGGAGAAUAAGCUCCGGCUAACUCCGUG
rnacentral:rRNA from 1 species